UUUCAAGAUGAUGCUUGUGUACAAACAUGCAGGUUUAGCUUCCUGAUUACUGAAUUGAAUAGAGUCAAGAAUGGCGUUUUUAAAUAAGUUAUACUGCGUUGAUAAUGUCUUAUAUAGAUGUAGCAUAAAACUGUAAUUUAGUAAUUUAGUCAUCGAAACUUGACUUGCUUAUUGUUAAGAGCUGUCUUUAGAAAUUGCGUAUAGUAGUUAUCUCACCUCUUCCAUUUUAGUGAUUAAAAGAGAAAACGUCCCUCACUUGACAUCAAAACAUAAUUUCACUGUUUUCUGAAGAAAAGUAUGUUUUCUUUUUUGUUAUGGAAUUUUAUUUGUUUUUUUUAAAACCCCAUUGGCCAAAUCACAAUAUUGAGAGAGUUCACUUUUAUUGCACCUAUUUAUUUCUUUUGAAUGAAAUUAAACUGCAUUAUUUGUUACAGAACAAUGCAGGAUUUGUUAAUGGAGUAAAUGACAGAAAUAAUGGUUGGAAAAAAUCUCAUGACAAGAACCAUAAACAUGAUGCUUCACAAAGAGGAUUUGGCAAGAAGCCGUUUCAAAAUCGUCAAAAUGCACAAGGAAACUUCAAGUUCAAUAAUGAAAAUCGAGGAAAAGGGAACCAAAAUGCUGGAGCAAAGAACUUCAACUUUUUGAAUUCAAAUGAGCAAAAUCAAGGAGUUCAGAAGAGGUAAUUCUGAUGUAUUUGAUA